UGAGGAAUAUUGGGCAAUGGACGAGAGUCUGACCCAGCCAUGCCGCGUGCAGGAAGACGGCCUUAUGGGUUGUAAACUGCUUUUAGGCGGGGAAAAAGUUACAUUUGCGAAUGUAUUUGAUGGUACCGCAGGAAUAAGUAUCGGCUAACUCCGUGCCAGCAGCCGCGGUAAUACGGAGGAUGCGAGCGUUAUCCGGAUUUAUUGGGUUUAAAGGGUGCGCAGGCGGCAUUAUAAGUCAGUGGUGAAAGGUAUCGGCUUAACCGAUGAAGUGCCAUUGAUACUGUAAAGCUUGAGUGUAGAUGACGUAGGCGGAAUGUAGCAUGUAGCGGUGAAAUGCAUAGAGAUGCUACAGAACACCGAUAGCGAAGGCAGCUUACGAAGGUACAACUGACGCUCAUGC
rnacentral:rRNA from 1 species